rnacentral:tRNA from 1 species
GAGGGUAGAGCUCAGUGGUAGAGUGCAUGAUGCCUUGCGUGCAUGAGGUCCUGGGUUCAACCCCUGGUACCUCCA